UAGUCCACGCCGUAAACGAUGUGUGCUAGUUGUUGGGUCCUUAAGGAUUCAGUGACGGAGUUAACGCAUUAAGCACACCGCCUGGGGAGUACGGCCGCAAGGUUAAAACUCAAAGGAAUUGACGGGGACCCGCACAAGCGGUGGAGCAUGUUCUUUAAUUCGAAGCAACGCGAAGAACCUUACCUACACUUGACAUACCUAUCGGGAUUAGCAGAGAUGCUUUUCUUCGGUUCGGCCGGAUAGGAUACAGGUGCUGCAUGGCUGUCGUCAGCUCGUGUCGUGAGAUGUUGGGUUAAGUCCCGCAACGAGCGCAACCCUCGCCAUCUGUUGCCAGCAUUUAGUUGGGCACUCUGAUGGGACUGCCGGUGAUAAGCCGGAGGAAGGUGGGGACGACGUCAAGUCAUCAUGGCCCUUACGUGUAGGGCUAGAAACGUGCUACAAUGGCAACUACAAUGGGCAGCGAACUCGCGAGGGUGAGCUAAUCUCCAAAAGUUGUCUCAGUUCGG
rnacentral:rRNA from 1 species